UGUCCAGCAGGAACUUCAGAGCCAAUGGAGGCUUAGGCUGUGGUUUCUGUCCUGGGACCCAGCAGUGGCCACUUCACACAGUCAAGAGUCAAGCAGGGGAAAAUGGCUUUAAUUGCAUCUGUCCUUGAUUGAGCACUCCUUGUGUUUUAUGUCCCUGCCUUUCCUCAACUCUGUGACUUUCUGUACCAAUAACAUCUCCAUGCUCGUUUGCAAGCUCGCAAGCCCAAGAGUGAACAUGCAUGCAGAACUCCUUAACACCAAACAAGGCCUCUACUUUCCUGUCAGCCUCAGGAGCGAGUCAUGCUAUAGCUGCCCAGAGAAGAAGUUGCUGCUGGUGCUGCUGGUGCUGGUGCUGCUGCUAUGAGGAAAGUGACAUCCUACAGGAAGAAAUCUCCAUGUCCAAAAGCAUCAAUGGCUGCCUGAAGAGGGUACCCACAACAAUGUGUUUUGAUUCAUAGAGGCUGGAGACAACAUGGAUCACAGUUCCCAUGGAAAUCUCUGCCAGUGUUUUUGCUUGAUUCAGCCAAUUAUCUUAGCAACCAUCAACAGCACCUUGCCUCCUCCCCUUCCCGUGACAAGCACAUUCUUAGCUCAUUUUAGUUGAAAAAGAAGCCCAUCUGUUCGGUGAUAUUAAAUUCAGAGAGGUGUUCUUGUGAAAUGUUUGGCCUUCUCUUUUAAACGCUUGACAAUAUGCCACAGUUACAAGAGGAGAAUGAAGGAAAGAGAGAAGAGAAGAGUCUAAGAAAAUUAGUUUAUUUCCUAUAUUCCCUGGGGCUCUUGGUUACGAAUUACUGAUAAUUUCUUAUCCUUAUGAUAAUGAUGGGGCUCCAGGAAAGAAAAAUGUUCCAAAUGAAGACAGGAUGUUGGAUGAGACUGGGAUUUCAGUCCUAGACACUACAGAAAGAAAGCCAACCCAUCACAACCAAUUAUCUCAAAGACAAAGCCUAUUGGAAACAUCUAGAGUCACGUGACGGUCCGGAUGGUGAGAGCCAAAGUGAUCGCUAGAAAGCUGAAUGCUGAGAUCAGAGUCCUGAUGGCUGCUCACCCCUCUGCGGCCUAUUUACAGAGAUUCAAUGUGACCAGUUGGUUCAAGCUCUUGUCACCAUGGCCAUGGCUUCUUCAGUGUAAUGGAGUGUUCUUUUGAACUCUGAGGCAAAUAAAUUCUUCCUUCCUUGAGUUGCUUCUGCUG